rnacentral:rRNA from 1 species
GACGAACGCUGGCGGCGUGCCUAACACAUGCAAGUCGAACGGAGAUGUAGAUUUCGGUUUACAUCUUAGUGGCGAACGGGUGAGUAACGCGUGAGCAACCUGACCCUUUGAGGGGGAUAACACCUGGAAACAAGUGCUAAUACCGCAUAAGACCACGACCCGGCAUCGGGAUGAGGUCAAAGGAGCAAUCCGCAGAGGGAGGGGCUCGCGUCCCAUUAGAUAGUAGGCGGGUAACGGCCCACCUAGUCGACGAUGGGUAGCCGAGCUGAGAGGCUGAUCGGCCACACUGGAACUGAGACACGGUCCAGACUCCUACGGGAGGCAGCAGUGGGGAAUAUUGGGCAAUGGGCGCAAGCCUGACCCAGCAACGCCGCGUGAGGGAAGAAGGGCUUUCGGGUUGUAAACCUCUGUCCUUGGUGACGAAGGAAGUGACGGUAGCCAAGGGAGGAAGCCCC